GUAUCAAGUUCAAACACCGGUUAUCGUUUGAUCACCGAAGUUAAGCAAUGUCGAGCCUGGUCAGUACAUAGAUGGGUAACCGCUUCCGAAUGCCAAGUGUUGCAA